CCUACGGGAGGCAGCAGUGGGGAAUCUUCCGCAAUGGGCGCAAGCCUGACGGAGCAACGCCGCGUGAGUGAAGAAGGUCUUCGGAUCGUAAAGCUCUGUUGAUGGGGACGAACGUGCCUAAUGCGAAUAGUAUUAGGUAAUGACGGUACCCAUCGAGGAAGCCACGGCUAACUACGUGCCAGCAGCCGCGGUAAUACGUAGGUGGCGAGCGUUGUCCGGAAUCAUUGGGCGUAAAGGGAGCGCAGGCGGGCAUGUAAGUCUUUCUUAAAAGUGCGGGGCUCAACCCCGGGAUGGGAAAGAAACUAUGUGUCUUGAGUACAGGAGAGGAAAGCGGAAUUCCCAGUGUAGCGGUGAAAUGCGUAGAUAUUGGGAGGAACACCAGUGGCGAAGGCGGCUUUCUGGACUGCAACUGACGCUGAGGCUCGAAAGCCAGGGGAGCGAACGGGAUUAGAUACCCCAGUAGUC
rnacentral:rRNA from 1 species